rnacentral:rRNA from 1 species
UACGAAGGGGACUAGCGUUGUUCGGAAUCACUGGGCGUAAAGCGCACGUAGGCGGAUGUGUCAGUCAGGGGUGAAAUCCCGGGGCUCAACCUCGGAACUGCCUUUGAUACAGCACGUCUCGAGUCCGGUAGGGGAGUGUGGAACUCCUGGUGUAGCGGUGAAAUGCGCAGAUAUCAGGAAGAACACCAGCGGCGAAGGCGGCACUCUGGGCCGGAACUGACGCUGAGGAGCGAAAGCGUGGGUAGCAAACAGG